CCUACGGGAGGCAGCAGUGAGGAAUAUUGGUCAAUGGCCGGAAGGCUGAACCAGCCAUGCCGCGUGAAGGUCAGUGCCCUAAUGGCGUUAAACUUCCUUUGUUCGGGAGCAAUAAUGGUCACCUGUGGCCUGACGAGAGUACCGUACGAAUAAGCAUCGGCUAACUCCGUGCCAGCAGCCGCGGUUAUACGGGGGAUGCAAUCGUUAUCCGGAUUUAUUGGGUUUAAAGGGUGCGUAGGCUGUGAGGUAAGUCAGCGGUGAAAUGCCCGCGCUCAACGGGGUGAAGUGCCAUUGAUACUGCCUGGCUGGAAUGCGGAUGCGGUAGGAGGAAUGUGUGGUGUAGCGGUGAAAUGCAUAGAUAUCACACAGAACACCGAUUGCGAAGGCAUCUCACGAAUCCGCGAUUGACGCUGAUGCACGAAAGCGUGGGUAUCAAACAGGAUUAGAUACCCGGGUAGUC
rnacentral:rRNA from 1 species